rnacentral:tRNA from 1 species
AAUAGAGUGUCUGAUUAAAGUAAUAAAUUGUAAAUUUAUUUAAGGGGAUUUCUCCUCUAUUA